GGGGGGUUAGCUCAGUCGGUUAGAGCGCUGCCCUGUCAAGGCAGAGGCCGCGGGUUCGAGUCCCGUACUCCCCG
rnacentral:tRNA from 1 species